GGGUUGUGAGGUUAAGCGACUAAGCGUACACGGUGGAUGCCCUGGCAGUCAGAGGCGAUGAAGGACGUGCUAAUCUGCGAUAAGCGUCGGUGAGGUGAUAUGAACCGUUAUAACCGGCGAUUUCCGAAUGGGGAAACCCAGUGUGUUUCGACACACUAUCAUUAACUGAAUCCAUAGGUUAAUGAGGCGAACCGGGGGAACUGAAACAUCUAAGUACCCCGAGGAAAAGAAAUCAACCGAGAUUCCCCCAGUAGCGGCGAGCGAACGGGGAGGAGCCCAGAGCCUGAAUCAGUGUGUGUGUUAGUGGAAGCGUCUGGAAAGGCGUGCGAUACAGGGUGACAGCCCCGUACACAAAAAUGCACAUAUUGUGAGCUCGAUGAGUAGGGCGGGACACGUGGUAUCCUGUCUGAAUAUGGGGGGACCAUCCUCCAAGGCUAAAUACUCCUGACUGACCGAUAGUGAACCAGUACCGUGAGGGAAAGGCGAAAAGAACCCCGGCGAGGGGAGUGAAAAAGAACCUGAAACCGUGUACGUACAAGCAGUGGGAGCCUCUUAAUGGGGUGACUGCGUACCUUUUGUAUAAUGGGUCAGCGACUUAUAUUCUGUAGCAAGGUUAACCGAAUAGGGGAGCCGAAGGGAAACCGAGUCUUAACUGGGCGUUAAGUUGCAGGGUAUAGACCCGAAACCCGGUGAUCUAGCCAUGGGCAGGUUGAAGGUUGGGUAACACUAACUGGAGGACCGAACCGACUAAUGUUGAAAAAUUAGCGGAUGACUUGUGGCUGGGGGUGAAAGGCCAAUCAAACCGGGAGAUAGCUGGUUCUCCCCGAAAGCUAUUUAGGUAGCGCCUCGUGAAUUCAUCUCCGGGGGUAGAGCACUGUUUCGGCAAGGGGGUCAUCCCGACUUACCAACCCGAUGCAAACUGCGAAUACCGGAGAAUGUUAUCACGGGAGACACACGGCGGGUGCUAACGUCCGUCGUGAAGAGGGAAACAACCCAGACCGCCAGCUAAGGUCCCAAAGUCAUGGUUAAGUGGGAAACGAUGUGGGAAGGCCCAGACAGCCAGGAUGUUGGCUUAGAAGCAGCCAUCAUUUAAAGAAAGCGUAAUAGCUCACUGGUCGAGUCGGCCUGCGCGGAAGAUGUAACGGGGCUAAACCAUGCACCGAAGCUGCGGCAGCGACACUAUGUGUUGUUGGGUAGGGGAGCGUUCUGUAAGCCUGUGAAGGUGGCCUGUGAGGGUUGCUGGAGGUAUCAGAAGUGCGAAUGCUGACAUAAGUAACGAUAAAGCGGGUGAAAAGCCCGCUCGCCGGAAGACCAAGGGUUCCUGUCCAACGUUAAUCGGGGCAGGGUGAGUCGACCCCUAAGGCGAGGCCGAAAGGCGUAGUCGAUGGGAAACAGGUUAAUAUUCCUGUACUUGGUGUUACUGCGAAGGGGGGACGGAGAAGGCUAUGUUGGCCGGGCGACGGUUGUCCCGGUUUAAGCGUGUAGGCUGGUUUUCCAGGCAAAUCCGGAAAACCAAGGCUGAGGCGUGAUGACGAAGCACUACGGUGCUGAAGCGACAAAUGCCCUGCUUCCAGGAAAAGCCUCUAAGCAUCAGGUAACAUCAAAUCGUACCCCAAACCGACACAGGUGGUCAGGUAGAGAAUACCAAGGCGCUUGAGAGAACUCGGGUGAAGGAACUAGGCAAAAUGGUGCCGUAACUUCGGGAGAAGGCACGCUGAUAUGUAGGUGAAGCGACUUGCUCGUGGAGCUGAAAUCAGUCGAAGAUACCAGCUGGCUGCAACUGUUUAUUAAAAACACAGCACUGUGCAAACACGAAAGUGGACGUAUACGGUGUGACGCCUGCCCGGUGCCGGAAGGUUAAUUGAUGGGGUUAGCGGUAACGCGAAGCUCUUGAUCGAAGCCCCGGUAAACGGCGGCCGUAACUAUAACGGUCCUAAGGUAGCGAAAUUCCUUGUCGGGUAAGUUCCGACCUGCACGAAUGGCGUAAUGAUGGCCAGGCUGUCUCCACCCGAGACUCAGUGAAAUUGAACUCGCUGUGAAGAUGCAGUGUACCCGCGGCAAGACGGAAAGACCCCGUGAACCUUUACUAUAGCUUGACACUGAACAUUGAGCCUUGAUGUGUAGGAUAGGUGGGAGGCUUUGAAGUGUGGACGCCAGUCUGCAUGGAGCCGACCUUGAAAUACCACCCUUUAAUGUUUGAUGUUCUAACGUUGGCCCGUAAUCCGGGUUGCGGACAGUGUCUGGUGGGUAGUUUGACUGGGGCGGUCUCCUCCUAAAGAGUAACGGAGGAGCACGAAGGUUGGCUAAUCCUGGUCGGACAUCAGGAGGUUAGUGCAAUGGCAUAAGCCAGCUUGACUGCGAGCGUGACGGCGCGAGCAGGUGCGAAAGCAGGUCAUAGUGAUCCGGUGGUUCUGAAUGGAAGGGCCAUCGCUCAACGGAUAAAAGGUACUCCGGGGAUAACAGGCUGAUACCGCCCAAGAGUUCAUAUCGACGGCGGUGUUUGGCACCUCGAUGUCGGCUCAUCACAUCCUGGGGCUGAAGUAGGUCCCAAGGGUAUGGCUGUUCGCCAUUUAAAGUGGUACGCGAGCUGGGUUUAGAACGUCGUGAGACAGUUCGGUCCCUAUCUGCCGUGGGCGCUGGAGAACUGAGGGGGGCUGCUCCUAGUACGAGAGGACCGGAGUGGACGCAUCACUGGUGUUCGGGUUGUCAUGCCAAUGGCACUGCCCGGUAGCUAAAUGCGGAAGAGAUAAGUGCUGAAAGCAUCUAAGCACGAAACUUGCCCCGAGAUGAGUUCUCCCUGAGACUUAGAGUCUCCUGAAGGAACGUUGAAGACGACGACGUUGAUAGGCCGGGUGUGUAAGCGCAGCGAUGCGUUGAGCUAACCGGUACUAAUGAACCGUGAGGCUUAACCUUACAACGCCGAAG
rnacentral:rRNA from 1 species